AAAUGAUUUUUUUUUUCGCACUCAUUUGUUCUUGCUUAUAUUGUUCUUGAAAUUGACACCACAUUGUAGUGACCUAUCUGUAAAUGAUUUCUUUUUCAUUAGCACCCCAUUGAUAUUAUGUUUGUAGUUCAAUGAGGUU